rnacentral:tRNA from 1 species
GGAGAGGUGGGUGAGUGGUUGAAACCGCACCCCUGCUAAGGGUGUAUACCGCAAGGUAUCGAGGGUUCGAAUCCCUCCCUCUUCG